UACAGAGGGUGCAAGCGUUAAUCGGAAUUACUGGGCGUAAAGCGUGCGCAGGCGGUGAUGUAAGACAGAUGUGAAAUCCCCGGGCUCAACCUGGGAACUGCAUUUGUGACUGCAUCGCUGGAGUGCGGCAGAGGGGGAUGGAAUUCCGCGUGUAGCAGUGAAAUGCGUAGAUAUGCGGAGGAACACCGAUGGCGAAGGCAAUCCCCUGGGCCUGCACUGACGCUCAUGCACGAAAGCGUGGGGAGCAAACAGGA
rnacentral:rRNA from 1 species